UGGUAGUNCACGCCGUAAACGAUGAGUGCUAGGUGUUAGACCCUUUCCGGGGUUUAGUGCCGCAGCUAACGCAUUAAGCACUCCGCCUGGGGAGUACGACCGCAAGGUUGAAACUCAAAGGAAUUGACGGGGGCCCGCACAAGCGGUGGAGCAUGUGGUUUAAUUCGAAGCAACGCGAAGAACCUUACCAGGUCUUGACAUCCCUCUGACCGCUCUAGAGAUAGAGUUUUCCUUCGGGACAGAGGUGACAGGUGGUGCAUGGUUGUCGUCAGCUCGUGUCGUGAGAUGUUGGGUNNNNNNNNNNNNNCGAGCGCAACCCCUAUUGUUAGUUGCCAUCAUUUAGUUGGGCACUCUAGCGAGACUGCCGGUAAUAAACCGGAGGAAGGUGGGGAUGACGUCAAAUCAUCAUGCCCCUUAUGACCUGGGCUACACACGUGCUACAAUGGCUGGUACAACGAGUCGCAAGCCGGUGACAGCAAGCUAAUCUCUUAAAGCCAGUCUCAGUUCGGAUUGUAGGCUGCAACUCGCCUACAUGAAGUCGGAAUCGCUAGUAAUCGCGGAUCAGCACGCCGCGGUGAAUACGUUCCCGGGCCU
rnacentral:rRNA from 1 species